UUCAGAUACACUGAGACAGAAGUCACCAGACUCUCUCACUAUAUAUAAGGGUCUGGUGACUUCUGUUUCAGUGUAUCUGAA